rnacentral:tRNA from 8 species
AGGUCAGUAACUCCAAUGGUAGAGUGUCGGUCUCCAAAACCGGUUGUUGGGGGUUCGAGUCCCUCCUGGCCUGCCA